rnacentral:misc_RNA from 1 species
UUAGCCUUUGAUAGGUUUGCUCAAAAGAAUGGGAGAACAGAUGAGAGGAUGCUUUUGUAAUGGCUAAAUUCAUUUCACUGACUCCAUUUGUAAAUGUUAAACUCCUGUCUCACAUUACUUUGCAAUGUAACAUGUGAAGUUUAAGGUACGAUAUUACCCUUAAGAUGGAGGCUGCAUUGCACUGAUUUUAUUGAUUGUAUUAGCUUCUAGAAAAAAAAGGAUCUUAGAGAAAGG